GGUCAAUGAUGACAGGUAAAAGGUCUGAUUGUACAGAGCUUUGUUCCCCAUCCUCACUCCCAGGAAACCCUCUAUUUUCUAUCCAGCUGUAGGCUUGCUGUGUUGAUCAAGGGGUUCCUGACAGUAAUUGAUGCUGCUGUUUCAGAGCACUUCGAGAAACCGUGUGCAUAUCUGCAGUGAGCAUUUGACAUAAUUGAUUACUCAGGAGUGUUUGGUGUUGUGGGAUUUGUCUCUGCUGCCUGACUGCAAACUCUAAACUGAGACC